GCUGGGGCACAUGCCUGUAGUCCCAGCUACUUGGGAGGCUGAGACUGGAGGAUUGCUUGAGUCCAGAAGUUCUGGGCUAUAGCAUGCUAUUCUGAUUGGGUGUCUGUACUAAGUUCGGCAUCAAUGUGGUGACCUCCUGGGAGCAGGGAACCACUAGGUUGCCUAAGGAGGGGUGAACCAGCCCAGGUUGGAAACGGAGCAGGUCAAAGUUCCUGUGCUGAUCAGUACUGGGAAAUAGACUGGCUUUGUGGCAAGCACCUAUAGUCCUAGCUACUUGGGAGGCUGAGGCAAGAGAAUCGCUU
rfam:Otolemur garnettii contig009372, whole genome shotgun sequence.